UACGUAGGGUGCGAGCGUUAAUCGGAAUUACUGGGCGUAAAGCGUGCGUAGGCGGUUCGUUAAGUCGUUGUGAAAGCCCCGGGCUCAACCUGGGAAUGGCAAUGGAAACUGGCGGGCUGGAGUAUGGCAGAGGGGGGGUGGAAUUCCGCGUGUAGCAGUGAAAUGCGUAGAGAUGCGGAGGAACACCGAUGGCGAAGGCAGCCCCCUGGGCCAAUACUGACGCUCAGGCACGAAAGCGUGGGGAGCAAACAGG
rnacentral:rRNA from 1 species